rnacentral:rRNA from 1 species
GGGUUGUGAGGUUAAGCGACUAAGCGUACACGGUGGAUGCCCUGGCAGUCAGAGGCGAUGAAGGACGUGCUAAUCUGCGAAAAGCGUCGGUAAGGUGAUAUGAACCGUUAUAACCGGCGAUGUCCGAAUGGGGAAACCCAGUGCAAUUCGUUGCACUAUCGUUAACUGAAUACAUAGGUUAACGAGGCGAACCGGGGGAACUGAAACAUCUAAGUACCCCGAGGAAAAGAAAUCAACCGAGAUUCCCCCAGUAGCGGCGAGCGAACGGGGAGCAGCCCAGAGUCUGAAUCAGCUUGUGUGUUAGUGGAACGGUCUGGAAAGUCCGACGGUACAGGGUGAUAGUCCCGUACACCAAAAUGCACAGGCUGUGAACUCGAAGAGUAGGGCGGGACACGUGGUAUCCUGUCUGAAUAUGGGGGGACCAUCCUCCAAGGCUAAAUACUCCUGACUGACCGAUAGUGAACCAGUACCGUGAGGGAAAGGCGAAAAGAACCCCGGCGAGGGGAGUGAAAAAGAACCUGAAACCGUGUACGUACAAGCAGUGGGAGCACCUUCGGGUGUGACUGCGUACCUUUUGUAUAAUGGGUCAGCGACUUAUAUUCUGUAGCAAGGUUAACCGUAUAGGGGAGCCGCAGGGAAACCGAGUCUUAACUGGGCGUUAAGUUGCAGGGUAUAGACCCGAAACCCGGUGAUCUAGCCAUGGGCAGGUUGAAGGUUGGGUAACACUAACUGGAGGACCGAACCGACUAAUGUUGAAAAAUUAGCGGAUGACUUGUGGCUGGGGGUGAAAGGCCAAUCAAACCGGGAGAUAGCUGGUUCUCCCCGAAAGCUAUUUAGGUAGCGCCUCGUGAAUUCAUCUUCGGGGGUAGAGCACUGUUUCGGCUAGGGGGUCAUCCCGACUUACCAACCCGAUGCAAACUACGAAUACCGAAGAAUGUUAUCACGGGAGACACACGGCGGGUGCUAACGUCCGUCGUGAAGAGGGAAACAACCCAGACCGCCAGCUAAGGUCCCAAAGUCAUGGUUAAGUGGGAAACGAUGUGGGAAGGCACAGACAGCCAGGAUGUUGGCUUAGAAGCAGCCAUCAUUUAAAGAAAGCGUAAUAGCUCACUGGUCGAGUCGGCCUGCGCGGAAGAUGUAACGGGGCUAAACCAUGCACCGAAGCUGCGGCAGCGACACUAUGUGUUGUUGGGUAGGGGAGCGUUCUGUAAGCCUGCGAAGGUGACCUGUGAGGGUUGCUGGAGGUAUCAGAAGUGCGAAUGCUGACAUAAGUAACGAUAAAGCGGGUGAAAAGCCCGCUCGCCGGAAGACCAAGGGUUCCUGUCCAACGUUAAUCGGGGCAGGGUGAGUCGACCCCUAAGGCGAGGCCGAAAGGCGUAGUCGAUGGGAAACAGGUUAAUAUUCCUGUACUUGGUGUUACUGCGAAGGGGGACGGAGAAGGCUAUGUUAGCCGGGCGACGGUUGUCCCGGUUUAAGCAUGUAGGCUGGUUAUCCAGGCAAAUCCGGAUAAUCAAGGCUGAGGUGUGAUGACGAGGCACUACGGUGCUGAAGUAACAAAUGCCCUGCUUCCAGGAAAAGCCUCUAAGCAUCAGGUAACAUCAAAUCGUACCCCAAACCGACACAGGUGGUCAGGUAGAGAAUACCAAGGCGCUUGAGAGAACUCGGGUGAAGGAACUAGGCAAAAUGGUGCCGUAACUUCGGGAGAAGGCACGCUGGUGUGUAGGUGAAGUCCCUGCGGAUGGAGCUGAGACCAGUCGAAGAUACCAGCUGGCUGCAACUGUUUAUUAAAAACACAGCACUGUGCAAACACGAAAGUGGACGUAUACGGUGUGACGCCUGCCCGGUGCCGGAAGGUUAAUUGAUGGGGUUAUCCGUAAGGAGAAGCUCUUGAUCGAAGCCCCGGUAAACGGCGGCCGUAACUAUAACGGUCCUAAGGUAGCGAAAUUCCUUGUCGGGUAAGUUCCGACCUGCACGAAUGGCGUAAUGAUGGCCAGGCUGUCUCCACCCGAGACUCAGUGAAAUUGAACUCGCUGUGAAGAUGCAGUGUACCCGCGGCAAGACGGAAAGACCCCGUGAACCUUUACUAUAGCUUGACACUGAACAUUGAGCCUUGAUGUGUAGGAUAGGUGGGAGGCUUUGAAGCGUGGACGCCAGUCUGCGUGGAGCCAACCUUGAAAUACCACCCUUUAAUGUUUGAUGUUCUAACGUUGGCCCCUGACCGGGGUUGCGGACAGUGUCUGGUGGGUAGUUUGACUGGGGCGGUCUCCUCCCAAAGCGUAACGGAGGAGCACGAAGGUUAGCUAAUCCUGGUCGGACAUCAGGAGGUUAGUGCAAUGGCAUAAGCUAGCUUGACUGCGAGCGUGACGGCGCGAGCAGGUGCGAAAGCAGGUCAUAGUGAUCCGGUGGUUCUGAAUGGAAGGGCCAUCGCUCAACGGAUAAAAGGUACUCCGGGGAUAACAGGCUGAUACCGCCCAAGAGUUCAUAUCGACGGCGGUGUUUGGCACCUCGAUGUCGGCUCAUCACAUCCUGGGGCUGAAGUAGGUCCCAAGGGUAUGGCUGUUCGCCAUUUAAAGUGGUACGCGAGCUGGGUUUAGAACGUCGUGAGACAGUUCGGUCCCUAUCUGCCGUGGGCGCUGGAGAAUUGAGGGGGGCUGCUCCUAGUACGAGAGGACCGGAGUGGACGCAUCACUGGUGUUCGGGUUGUCAUGCCAAUGGCACUGCCCGGUAGCUAAAUGCGGAAGAGAUAAGUGCUGAAAGCAUCUAAGCACGAAACUUGCCCCGAGAUGAGUUCUCCCUGAGACUUUAAGUCUCCUGAAGGAACGUUAAAGACGAUGACGUUGAUAGGCCGGGUGUGUAAGCGCAGCGAUGCGUUGAGCUAACCGGUACUAAUGAACCGUGAGGCUUAACCUUACAACGCCGAAG